rnacentral:RNase_P_RNA from 1 species
UCUGUUCAUGAGAUGACUGCGGCGUGAAAGCGUCGAGGAAAGUCCGGACUUCGUAUGGCAGCACAGGGGAUAACAUCCCCCCGCUCAAGCAAUUGGGUGAGGACCAGUGGAACAGAGAGAAGGUCCAGGGCAUUGAUCCUAGGGGCGAGAACGUGUGCCUUUAGGGGAGCCGCUGGAGUGAAAGCAGCUAAACUCUGUGCGAAGCAAGGUCAAAUAGGGAAGCGUUUGAGGGCGGCCAGUCUAAAGCUUCCGGGUAGACCGCUAGAGGGCGCAAGCAAUUGCGCUCCCAGAUGAAUAGUCGUCGGCGAAAGGGUCUGUUGAAGCCCUUUNGUUACAGAAUCCGGCUUAUGAUUGAACGAUUCAA